GAUGAAGAACGCAGUGAAAUGCGAUACGUAAUGUGAAUUGCAGAUCUCUCAGUGAACCAUCGAAUUUUUGAACGCACAUAGCGCCCGCCGGUCAUUCCGGCGGGCAUGCCUGUCCGAGCGUCAUUGCUGCCCUCAAGCACGGCUUGUGUGUUGGGCCUCCGUCCUCCUCCCGGGGGACGGGCCCGAAAGGCAGCGGCGGCACCGCGUCCGGUCCUCGAGCGUAUGGGGCUUCGUCACCCGCUCUUGUAGGCCCGGCCGGCGCUUGCCGACACAUCAAUCUUUUUUCCAGGUUGACCUCGGAUCAGGUAGGGAUACCCGCUGAACUUAAGCAUAUCAAUAAGCGGAGGA
rnacentral:misc_RNA from 1 species